GGAAAUCCAUGUUUUGGCAUUCAGGAGAGAGCAGCAGACUAACCAAAAGAAAGACUUUCCAGUGGUCAAUGAGAUUAGUGGUCAAAAUGCUGUGAUUCUGUGUGUGUGAUGAGGGGCAAUCUUUUCAUUUCUCUAUAGCUUAGAUCUCUAUCACUAGGGAGCAAUUAACAUUCUCUUUGGUACUCUGAUAGAAGUGCUAUUUGCUUUUCGGCUGACAUUUUAAGGGCACUCAUACCUUCGCUUUAGAUUUGCACAUGUCUAAAGGCAGCAUCAAAUUCUCAUAUUCUCUCUUCACUUCUUGCAAGCUCCUCUGUAGAGGAGAGCUUGAAGGGAAGAAAAAGAAAAAAGUCACUAACUUGUCUCUUUUUUGCCUUUUUUGUACAGUCAUUUUCAACAAUGGGAACUUUCACAAGGAGUACACACACAAGGGAGCAAGAAGGAAGGAGAAUGCUCUCAGUAUGCCUAUUUCCAGGGGGAAAGAAAAAAACAAACGAAGCAAGUCAUUUGUAAUGUUACGUGCAGAAGAUUCUGGUGUCAUGAUCUUUCACUUUUGCCCUGCAUCUAAUACUGAGGAUCAUUCAGCCAUGAUGAAACCAGCUGGAGGAAAUUCUCUCCUGCAGGACACGAAGGCCAAUGACGGAUAG
rnacentral:lncRNA from 1 species